CAAAGGCUUGGUCCUGACUUUACUAACAGCUUUGUCCUAACCUACACAUGCAAGUAUCCGCACCCCGGUGAGAAUGCCCCCACAGUCCCCCGCCCGGGGACAAGGAGCUGGUAUCAGGCACACUAUAACUGAAGCCCACGACACCUUGCUUAGCCACACCUUCAAGGGUAAUCAGCAGUGGUAAAUAUUAAGCCAUAAGUGAAAACUUGACUUAAUUAAGGCCAAGAGGGUCGGUAAAACUCGUGCCAGCCACCGCGGUUAUACGAGAGACCCAAGUUGUUAAAUCACGGCGUAAAGAGUGGUUAAAAUGUAUUAAAAAAUAGAGCCGAACACUUACAAAGUUGUUAUAAGCACACGAAAUUAAGAAGCCCAAUCACGAAAGUGGCUUUAUAUAAUUUGAGCCCACGUAAGCUAGGACACAAACUGGGAUUAGAUACCCCAUUAUGCCUAGCCGUCAACAUCGACAGCAUCUUACACCCGCUGUCCGCCCGGGAACUACGAGCAACAGCUUAAAACCCAAAGGACUUGGCGGUGCUUCAGAUCCCCCUAGAGGAGCCUGUUCUGGAACCGAUAAUCCCCGUUCAACCUCACCCUUUCUUGUUUUUCCCGCCUAUAUACCGCCGUCGCAAGCUCACCCUGUGAAGGAUAAACAGCGAGCCCAACUGGUACUACCCACUAUGUCAGGUCGAGGUGUAGCGUAUGAAAGGGGAAGAAAUGGGCUACAUUCUCUAAUACAGAGCAUACGGAAGGCUACAUUGAAACAUGUACCUGAAGGAGGAUUUAGUAGUAAGCAGGAAGUAGAGUGUCCCGCUGAAACUGGCUCUGGAGCGCGCACACACCGCCCGUCACUCUCCCCGAGCUAUAGAACCCUAUAACUAAUAACCCAUGACUGCAAAGGGGAGGCAAGUCGUAACAUGGUAAGUGUACCGGAAGGUGUACUUGGACUAAC
rnacentral:ncRNA from 1 species